GACGAACGCUGGCGGCGUGCUUAACACAUGCAAGUCGAACGGAAAGGCCCUGCUUUUGUGGGGUGCUCGAGUGGCGAACGGGUGAGUAACACGUGAGUAACCUGCCCUUGACUUUGGGAUAACUUCAGGAAACUGGGGCUAAUACCGGAUAGGAGCUCCUGCUGCAUGGUGGGGGUUGGAAAGUUUCGGCGGUUGGGGAUGGACUCGCGGCUUAUCAGCUUGCUGGUGGGGUAGUGGCUUACCAAGGCUUUGAGGGGUAGCCGGCCUGAGAGGGUGACCGGCGACAUGAGGACUGAGAGACGGCCCAGACUCCAACGGGAGGCAGCAGGGGGGAAUAUGGCACAAUGGGCGGAAGCCUGAUGCAGCAACGCCGCGUGCGGGAUGCCGGGCUUCGGGUGGUAAACCGCUUUCGCCGGUGACGAAGCGAUAGUGACGGUAAUGGGUAAAGAAGCAACGGCUAACUACGUG
rnacentral:rRNA from 1 species